CACACACACAACACACACAACACAUAUAUAAGCCACACAUGCUGCUGUCCCAAAAGAGUCACUGAACAAGCUGCUGCAUUAGCGACUGGUUAAUUUGACAGUUUAUCUAUCUGCUGUGCAGAGUUGCUAGGAGAAGGUGAAUAGUCGCAAUUAGAGCACACUCCUUCAAUGGCAACCUGUAGAGCUCUCUCAUUUCCUUUAGGCAGGGGGAUCUGCACAUGCCUGCAAUGUUUGCUCCGCUUAUUCAUCCUGCACGGCGGUUUUAUUCAUUAAGAAGCAAUCCAGGAUCAACUUGAAGAGGCAGAAGAGGUGACGUUUAGGCAGCUGAUUCCCCUUCAUAAGGGUUGGAGAGAGAGAGAUGAGAGCAGCUGCUGUCUAACAUGUGUGGAUCUUCUGGCAUUUGUGGUGGGCUGGAGAAGGCUCCUCUUCCUUGCUGCUGAGCUGGACUUUCAUUCGAUUGCCAUACAGGACCAUUAACCAUGGGCUCCACAGGUACCGAGGCAACUCAGGGAAUGGACAGCGCUCCUUUAAAGUACCCGAUAGGAGGACACACUGAGAAAAUGUGGCAGCGGCUCAAAGGAAUAUUAAGAUGUUUAGUGAAGCAGCUGGAAAAAGGUGAUGUUAAUGUGGUCGAUCUGAAGAAGAAUAUUGAAUAUGCAGCAUCUGUAUUGGAGGCGGUAUACAUUGAUGAAACAAGGAGGCUCUUGGAUACAGAGGAUGAACUGUCGGAUAUCCAGUCGGAUUCAGUACCACUGGAAGUACGGGAUUGGUUGGCUUCUACCUUCACGAGGAAAAUUGGGAUGACAAAAAGGAGGCCAGAGGAAAAGCCCAAGUUUCGAAGCAUCGUGCAUGCUGUUCAAGCUGGGAUUUUUGUAGAAAGAAUGUAUCGAAGGACCUCUAACAUGGUUGGUUUAGCUUAUCCAGCAGAAGUCAUAACAACCUUUAAGGAUGUUGAUAAGUGGUCAUUUGAUGUGUUUUCCCUAAAUGAAGCAAGCGGAGGGCACAGCCUAAAAUUUAUGAUCUAUGAAUUGUUUACUAGAUAUGAUCUAUUGAGCCGUUUCAAGAUCCCUGUUCCCAGUCUUCUUUCAUUUGGGGAAGCUUUGGAAACCGGCUACAGCAAAUACAAAAACCCUUACCACAACUUGAUCCAUGCAGCUGACGUUACCCACACUGUGCACUGCAUCAUGCUCCUUACUGGUAUCAUGCACUGGCUCACAGAACUGGAAAUACUAGCAAUGAUCUUUGCAGCUGCAGUCCAUGACUAUGAGCAUACUGGGACUACAAACAACUUCCACAUUCAGACCAGGUCAGAUGUUGCAACUUUGUAUAAUGAUCGCUCUGUUCUUGAAAACCAUCAUGUGAGUGCUGCUUAUAGGAUUAUGCAAGAAGAAGAAAUGAACAUCCUGGUAAACCUAAACAAAGAAGAAUGGAGGGAGCUGCGCAACCUAGUAAUUGAGAUGGUCUUAUCAACCGAUAUGUCGGGUCAUUUCCAGCAAAUCAAAACCAUGAGGCACACUAUUCAGCAGACCGAGGGGAUAGACAAAGCCAGAGCCAUGUCUUUGAUUCUACAUGCAGCGGACAUAAGCCAUCCAGCAAAGUCCUGGGAACUGCACUACCGGUGGACAAUGGCACUGAUGGAAGAAUUUUUUCGACAGGGAGACAAAGAGGCAGAAUUGGGACUACCAUUUUCUCCCCUCUGUGACCGCAAAUCCACCAUGGUGGCGCAGUCCCAAAUAGGUUUCAUUGAUUUCAUAGUAAAGCCAACGUUUUCUCUUCUUACUGACUCCAUGGAGAAAAUAGUUUUUCCUCUUAUAGAGGAAGCUUCAAAAUCGGAAAGUCCUACCUUUGUGACAUCACCAAGUGAGAAUAGCAUUGGCGGGAGCGCUGCUGAUGUGCACAAAAGGAUAGGCAUUAAAAGCAGCGCUUCGAGUCUUAGUGGGAGUUGCUCAGAAAACUCAUUAGCAUCUGUGGACUUGAGAAGUUUCAAGGACAGCUUGGUUCAGAUCAUACAGCAGAACAAAGACAGGUGGAAAGAUUUAGCAGAAAAAGAAGAACUUGUGCGGAAUGUUGGCGGGCAGAAAAAAGAGCAGCAUAAAGACCAAAGCAGACAUGCCACAGGCACGCAGUUAGAGGAAGGGGCAAGAAAGACACCAAAUGAAAAGAAUCAGGGAACAGAUGGGACAUCUUUAUCAAUAGACUCACCCCGCACUUCUGUGAACUCUCUCAAUAACGUUUCUAAUGCGCCUGGCUCUGUGACCAUGUCUAAGCUUGCUUUGAAUGCAAAAGGAAUUGUGGAUGUGCAGCAAGAAACACAACCGGAUGCCCCACUAAAUGGUGAGCCUAACCUCCAUAAAAACUCAGAAGAGUCUCUUAAAACAACAGAAGAAAAACCAGCUGUGCUGCACAAUUAGAGGAACCACAUCUUAAUUCUUUCUGCUGUCUUGACAACGAGAGUAUUUGGAAAAUCCACAUGUAGGACAAGCAGAUUCUACUUGGAGAUUCCAGGAAAAGGAUGAACUGAACAGCGCUAAAGCAUCUUCAUUUCCCACAAUGCUGUUAUCCUCUCUUUCGAAUCAACCUUGGAUCCUCUUAUCUAUAUGCACAACUGCUGGAUACAAAUAUUGACAUUAAAAACUAUAAAGCCCUGAGCUGGUAACUCAUGGCACUUCUAGCAGCACUCAAGAUUAGGAGUUAGAUUAUUCUUUCUUCAGUUCUGCAAUCCUUAACUUAGCUGGAACACAUUUCCAGCCAUUUUUUUUAAUUUCAGUCAAUGAAACCAGCCACUACUGUAUCACUAUUUGCAAUGUGUGCUACAGAAGACUGAUUUGCAGAGACUUCAUGUAAGCUACUCUGAGUGAACAGUUUCAGCCCCACUUGUAAUGAUGGGGAGUCGGGAGGGAGCCACCAAAAUGAAGAUAAUACAGACCAUUUCAACCUUUUACUUUGGAGCCAUGUUGCUUAAUGACAUUCAGACAUAGAGGCUUUUUGAAAGGUGGGUGGGAUCCAAAAGAGCUGUACUGAAAAUUCAGGAGUCACCAGAAGCCUCUUGAAUAAGCAAUGUACGUGUGUCGAUACCAUGUGUGAAACUUGCAUGAAGACAAUCUGGCAUUUUAUUUAACCAUUCAUUUUUUUAAAAGCGGGGGGGAAACCCAUCUUUUUAAAAGCUAGUGAAAUAAUGGUAAGGCAGAGUGGGCGACAAGGUUAAAAUCUUUUCUUUGUGGGGUUGUAGGAGAGGUGCUGUAGCUGUGUGGUAGACCAUAUAUUCUGCAUGUGGAAGGUCUCUGCUUCAGUCCCUAGCAGCAUCUGCAGCUAAAAAGAGUAGCAAGGCUAUGAGAACCCUUAGCUUGCGAAGUUGGAGAGCCGCUUCCAGUCGAAGCAGAUACUGCUGGGCUCAGUAGACUCUGUAACAGGCUGCUUCAUACGUUCAAUACUAUCUGAGUAGGUUUGCCCUGGAAAUUCAGCAUUAUUUCCGAUAGAGAAAAGCACCACUGCUUAUUUGGGCACGUGGGCUUAACUUUCUCAAACCUGUGCCAGUGUUCUGUGGGCAAUGCUGAGUAAGCAAUCAACCCCUUCACCAGGGCCUCUUUACCACACUGAGGACACUCCUGGGACGGCCAUGGUGCCAUCGGAACCACAGUGGCUCUCCAUAGCUCUGUGGGCUCCUCUGCUUCUUCUAGCCUCCCCCUUUUUGAGCUGGCUAUGGUUCACAUUAUCAGGGAUGGUAUAAGAGAAUACCAAGAUAUUAUGUCCGUUGCCAUGAAAGCCAUAUAUGAGCUGUGCAUAUUAUGAAUUAUUUAAGGUUGGGGUGGGGGUGGGGGGUUGAGUGUGCACAGAGAAUGGGAAAAAAUACAUUUUAAAAUAUUUGUGUGAAUCAAGGCCAGAGCUUGCAUUUAGCAUGGACUUUGUGUACCGUGCAGUAAACAAAUCAUUUUAAUGAAUAAAACUGUAUGAUAUAUUGUAUAAUGCAACGUAUAGUUUUGAAAAGAUCUCUCUCUCUCUCUCUCUGUAUGUAUAUAUAAGUAAAUAAGAUAUAUGCAUGUGUGUAUCUAUACACACACACACACACACACACACACACACUGCUACCACCCAGGAAAUCUGACCCAUUCACUGCGUCGUCAUGUUCUCUUACAGAAUUGCUUUGCCAUUAUAAGAAAUAUUAUACUGAAUGGUUUGCUUCAGCAGUAAUUGCAACAGUAGAUGAGACAUCCACGUGUUUGUAUAUUCUGGGGCUAGUCCUAAGAAUUACUCAGGAAAACACCCCGGUACAGAGCCCUGUGUGCAAACGUAUGUUCCCAUUAAUCUGCUACCUAUGCUGACGUGAAUGAAGAAGCCUUUGUGGGUGGGAGAGUUAUUCAUGCAAAGAUUCCCUAGGUGCCCACAGCAAAUCCUUAGUUUGGGGUGUUGACCUUAGUGGCAGCUUUGUUUCUGGUAUCCUCAUUCCAUUUUCCCCUAAAUAUAUGGGAUGAUUCCCUUAUAUGUUUUAGGAGUGUGCACAGAAACGGCUGGCCCAGUUUGGUUCGAGUCCGGACUGGACUCGAACCAGACCGGCCAAGUUUGGUCUAGCCCCCACCGAACCCUCGCAACUGUUUUGGUCCAGGGGGUGGGUUCACUUUUUUUAAAAAAAAUUAAAAUUAAAAAAAUUACCUCCAGCCCCUUCGGGGGGCUUCCUGUAGGCUGUGGGAUGUGUGUGUGUGUGUGUGUGUGUGUACACAAAGGUUUCCCCUCCCCCCGCUGGCCUCUUAAAUCACCACUGCGGCCGAGUAAAAUGACUCUUUUCAGCCCAUUUGGGCUUCUGUAAGUGCACAUGGAGGCCAUUUUGGCUGCCGCCGUGCAUGCAUAAAUGCGCGGCCUCACAGAGGUGGGAGGGAGAACCUUCACAGACACCCACCCACCCACCCACCCCCCGUGGCCUACAGGAAGCCCCCAAAGGGGCUGGAGGUAAUUUUAAAACUAUUUUUAAAUUCUUUUUUUUAAAAAUCCAAAAAAAAUUGCGGACUUGGUUCAAUUGGACAGGUGAGGUUUGGUUCAAUCCCGAACCUCCAGACCAGUCCGCACAUCCCUCAUAUGUUUCAGCAAAGGUAUGGCAACUUCAUACCUGCAACUGGCUCCCCGAUGGAAUCGUAAUACAGUACAGAGCUUAUGGAUGAAGCUCUGCAACUUGUGAAUCGAAUAGGGAGCCAGGAGAUUAAUCUGAGCCAGGAUCUGUGAGGCUUCAGCCCUAGUACCUGCUUUCAGUGCCAGCUCUAUGCUCUGGUAUAUGGAAGGGAGGAUAAUGCAUUUGCAUUAGUAUUAAGAAGCAGCUUUAGCAGACUGCAUGCAUCGGAAUAGGCCAUUGGAAAAGAAUGCAGAGCAUUGCUUUAAAGAGAACUAAGCAUCCAUAACAGUUACCCAAGUUGGAAAUGACAUGAACAGGACCAGUAAGUACACACAGUACUUGUGCUGCUGCAGAUGAAAACGGAAACUGGUUGUGAUCUUUCAGAGACAGUCGGAGGCGUCGCUAUAACUGGACAAGCGGCGGCGGGGACCGCAAAUGUUCCAGGGGCCUGACAGCUGAGUGACAGACGGCUCUUCUUUCCCCCCCUCUUGCCUCUCUGAAGAAGAGAGGUGGCAGGGCAGAGGCCGAGCUUCACUUUUUGUCUUCCAGCCUUGCUACAGCCCCGGAGACAGCAAUGGCUAAACCAGUUGCUCUGGUACAGUUCUUGUUUAUCUUCAGAGGGUCCCAGAUGGAAAGAAUGUGUUCUCCCAACUCUCCAGCUUAAGUCCAGCUCAUAACAGAAAAAUGAGUUCAUUCUGCCAUGGGGUUCUUUUGAGCGUCAGCUUCAGACCCAGUUUGCUGUCUUCUCAAAAACACCUUCUCCAACCCAAGCUGAAUUUCACUUUGUAAAAAAGAAUUUGUUUUGAAACAUGCAAAGCGUGGGUGGUAAAAAGCAUCAAAAUAAACACAUCUCCACACAAGAUCUGGCAGUGCCAUCCUACGUGUACUUCUUGGAAGUUCAAUGGGACUUGCACCCAAGUAUGUGAGCUUAGGAUCGCAGCUCCUAAGUUGCAUUUCCCUGUGGACAGAAUUGCCAUUCCUGGGGCAGGGAAGACUCAUUGGUCUUCAGGACUGGCUGAAUGUAAACAUGUAUUUAAUGUAAAUGCCUUCCAUGUAAACCAUGUUCUGACUGGGCUGUUUAUGCUGCCAUUCUAAGCACUGUGAAAGGCUUCAGUAAACUUGUGUAGACUCUUUUCCCACACAUAUUCUUCACCUCUGUUGUAUGAUCUGGGCUUGGGUACACAUCAAUUGUUUGGGUUUGCAUUGCUUACAGGGCAUUUAUCUUACUUCACCUGGCCUUUCCUGUGCCCCCACAUUAAGUCACAUGGCCCUGAAUGGUAACUAGAUUGUCCAUUGGGAUAUGUGUCAGAGUUGCUUCUCUGUCACCACCAUAAACUGACUUUUCUUUAGAAGCUUCACAAAACAAUGUUUUCUAAGACUUUUUUUAAAUGAUCAAGGCAACAGGGGCCUACAAGUAAUAUUUCUGAUGUCAGAUUCAAGGGACAUUUAUUUCACAGUAAACGGAAGUAAAUGUUCAUGCCCAUGUUUUGUUUCACAGUAAAUGGAAGCAGGAAGGUGUGGCCUCUUUCUAAUUGGUACUCUUUUCAAUGCAGUGUCGCGGCAACAUCAGUGACAAAGAGAGGUCAGUAUUGUCCAUGCUAAAUCAGCACAACUGAAACCUGUAACCCAGAUUGGGAUCAUGUCCACCUCCAUGCUGAUCAUUGCUUGGGAAGUACAGAAAGGGGAAUGCAAAAAUAAUUUUGCUGGCCUCGGCUUUAACCACUGUGCCAGUAGGUGCCUCAUCACCGGGCAGAAAAGUCCUGCUCUGCUCUUAGUUGGGUACUGCUGCCAUCUAGAACACCAAGCUGUUUUCAGUGGAGAUGAUGCAGACCAGACAUGCAUUGCAAAGGCCUCAAAUUGGCAGCACUUGCACCACAAAAAUGUACAGACAAGUCCUAGGUUAAUACUCCUAGCUGAUACGUCAACUGCAAAAGAAAAAAUGUUAAUGCUAAAUGACAGAGCAGUGAACUCUGCCCUUACCCAUGGGCCAAAUCCAUAUUGCAGCUUUGAACUACCUUCCCAGGGAACCCUGGGAAAAGUAAUCAUAUUGGGGAAUCAAGAAACCUUGUAAAUACCCUUCUCAAAUUACAAGUCCCAGAAUUCUUCGGGGAAGCAAUGACAGUUUAAAAGGCAUAAAACCAAUAUAACUUUGUAAUCUAGAUCCAGAUCAUGGAGGUAUUUGUCACUAAAGACCCCACAGAGGCCUUAGGGGAAAUAUAUUCCAUAUUGUAACAAGGAACUGUUGAUGAGGUAUAGUUUUCAACAUUUAUUUUGUAUAUUUAUCUUGAGAUAUCUGGUGUACUCUGUAAUAUAAUCAUGGAUCAUAAUUUUGACAUAUAAACAUUUUAGUUUUCAUUGUGGCAGCCAUCGUGGGAUGUAUAAGGUGUUUUCUCUCUCUCUCUGCUGUACCUGUCUGUACUUCCUAUGAUAAGAUGGCUAAAUAAAUUAUAUUGGAAGACAA